UCUUGGCGUUGGGAGGCGAUGAAGGACGUGGUAACCUGCGAUAAGCCUGGGGAAGCUGGUAAACGAGCUCCGAUCCCAGGAUUUCCGAAUGGGGCAACCCGGCCCGUAUGGGUCACUCUUGUCUGAAUGCAUAGGGCAAGAGAGCGAACCCGGGGAACUGAAACAUCUAAGUACCCGGAGGAAAGGAAAGCAACAGCGACUCCGUAAGUAGCGGCGAGCGAAAGCGGAUAAGAGAUCGUGUGAACAACCUGGAAUGGUUGGCCAAAGAAGGUGAAAGCCCUGUAGUGUGAUCGUUAGAGUCUUCAAUUAGGUUCGGGCUCGUGAAACCCGGACUGAACAUGGGGGGUCCACCCUCCAAGACUAAGUACUACCCAACGACCGAUAGUGCAUCAGUAAGGUGACUGAAAGAUGAAAAGUACCGCGAUGAGCGGGGUGAAAGAGUACCUGAAACCAUGCGCUUACAAGCGGUGGGAGCCCUCCGGGGUGACCGCGUGCUUUUUGCAUAAUGAGCCCACGAGUUAGUCU
rnacentral:rRNA from 16 species